UUGUUGGAAUGGCUUUCGCUUGAAUUCUUUGGGGAUUACUGGAGAAAAUGGAAAGAAACUGAAACGCAUAAAUGAAUUAAACCAGCAAGAUUCCUCAUGGCUUCUUCAGAAGACCCUAUUGCUCUGAUUAAGGAACUCCACCAGCAUUGGAGAAAAGGCUCUGCCUUUGCUUCCCAUUUUUUAGCUUUCAACACCUAACUGAAAAAGUCUCAGAAAGCUGAUGUAUCCAAGUUAAUCACCUCUGAAGAACUGCGGACUCACUGAGUACUAAACAAAACCUUCCUUCUAUGUGAGCCAAAAGUCAGAAAAAAAAAAAAACUGUUGUCAAACACCUGUAAAGAGAUGCCUAUCAUCAUAUGGAAAUUUGAAGAGCUUCUGUGUGGCACAUUCAUAAUCCAAAUGGGAGAGAAUCAACUGUCAUGAUGUCCCAGAAGGCCUUAUAACAGUAAACAAGAGGGAAAAGUUAUAAUAGCUUGUUAAUCGGUGCUUGCACAUUAGACUUGAGUGUGAUUACUAUAAAAAAAAUCCAAGGCAAAUAUGCAAAUACUUCUUUGAAAGUCUUCCAAAUUAUGUAAAGGCUCAGACCAAUGAAGUAAGAAAGAGGUUAUUUUAUUCUCACUCUCUACAACCCAUUGAUAAAGUCUUUAGAAAGAGGAGCAGUUGAUCGUGAAUUACUGUUUUGAUCCACCAUUUAGCAAAGA
rnacentral:lncRNA from 12 species